UACGUAGGGGGCAAGCGUUGUCCGGAUUUAUUGGGCGUAAAGAGCGUGUAGGCGGUUAGGUAGGUCCGUUGUGAAAUCCCCGGGCUCAACCUGGGAACUGCAUUUGUGACUGCAUCGCUGGAGUACGGCAGAGGGGGAUGGAAUUCCGCGUGUAGCAGUGAAAUGCGUAGAUAUGCGGAGGAACACCGAUGGCGAAGGCAAUCCCCUGGGCCUGUACUGACGCUCAUGCACGAAAGCGUGGGGAGCAAACAGG
rnacentral:rRNA from 1 species